rnacentral:rRNA from 1 species
CGGAUUGCAGUCUGCAACUCGACUGCAUGAAGCUGGAAUCGCUAGUAAUCGCGGAUCAGAAUGCCGCGGUGAAUACGUUCCCGGGUCUUGUACACACCGCCCGUCACACCAUGGGAGUCAGUAACGCCCGAAGUCAGUGACCGAACCGAGAGGACGGAGCUGCCGAAGGCGGGACGGAUAACUGGGGUGAAGUCGUAACAAGGUAAC